UUGGAGAGAGGAAGACUCCUCACGUAGAAUGAUUGUUAUUUGCUAUAAAAAGCUCUAACAGAUAGGUUUUGGGGGGAGGACUUUCAGCACAUAGAAGAAAAAAAAAACAGAGAGAGAGAGAGGCGAAAAAAUUGGAGUUUCAGAGAAGACUUUCUAGUGAGAAGCUGUUGGUGGAGAAGAAGGAGAGGGCGGUUGAAGAAAUCUCAGACGACAUACCAGUGGGAUCUCCUUGCCAGAAGAGAGCAUUCCUCGGUAUGUUUGUUGAGAACUCCUUACUCAGUGAUAUUAUCACUUUGUUCUAUAAUUGGUUUCGUGUUCUAAUUUGUGCUUGAGAGAGAGGGUGUAUACACUCAAAGAGGAAGUUGUGCAUGAGAUUUAUAAGAGUGGUGUACACUUAAAAGAGAGAGCAGCAGAUUGGUGGACAAAACAUUCGUACAUUGCACAACUUCAGUGCAGGUCAAAAGGGUAGUGGAAUUGGUCCAGAUUGCAGCAUAAAAUUUAUGUUUUUUUUUUUAAAUGAGACUUCAAAUGGUGGGUCCCUUGGGAUCAGGGCUGGAUGAUAGUGAUAGAUAUGUAGGGAUGGUGGCAGCUAGUGGGGAAAUUAUAUUAUACAUCAGCUUCAGCACGUAAAGGAGUAGCCACCAUUCUGACAUGAAUUCCCCAUUGUGCACCCUGUUUAUGAGUAUCUUCCUACAAAAUACACAAGACUUUGUCAUCUCAGGUGCAGCUAUAACAUCAGUAUACCUGUUGAGACCCCUUCCUACUGAGAUUUCUUGAUCUAAAAUCGGUUUGUUAAAAAGAAAAGAACUACCCAUCUUAGGUAUUAAAUGAUUUAAUCUUUGCUGCCAAUUUUCAUCAAACCAUUGACCCUUCAACUUCAAAAAUUCAUUUUGACAACUUUAGGAUAUCUGUAAAAAAUCUCCAGAAAUUUUAUGACUUUCCUCACUUCUUGAACUUGAAUUUGAGGUUUUGUUUGAGUUAGAAAGUCAUUCUGAGAUAGAAGAUAUAAAUGAGUCUUUAGGGGGACUCCGUUUUCACAUAGUUCUGGACACCCAAGAUCUUUUGGAAAAAAUAAAAUAGUAGAGGACUAUUUAAAAUUGAUUCAAUAUUUUUUCUCAAUUAUAAGCUUCUUGAAAUUGAUUUUAGACACAUAAAAUAUUAGAAAAUAUGCAUUUUUGAGAGAGAGAUGAUUUUUCAAAGUUGUGCCUACUGCGCAUGAUAGAGUUUGUACACCUGAUUAGAUUUAUAGUUUUAAAAAUAUUUUUGAGUACUAUUCGACCCCGAAUUUAUUUUUUAUGUGAUAUAGACAUUUUGAAAUAUGUGUGUGAUUUUUUUUUAAUGAUUUUAUAGGAUCAUUUAUUAUUUUUUAAAAAUUCAUUUAUGCACGUCACUUUUCCUUAUCUAAUCUGGACUUUGUAGAACCUUUAGGUGCCUUUGCGAUAAUUUGUCUUUUGAAUGAGUGUUUGGCUUUCGGUAUGUUAAUCUAGGUGUGUAGGAGUUUGUUUCCUGAAAUUUUUUGUAAUUAAAUUCCACUCUAAGCCAUUUUUUUAGAAAUUGUUUUAUGAUGCUUCAUCUUCUAACCGCAUGCUGAUGGUUUUAUACCUUACUUGAAAUUGUUAUUAUUUUUGGAGUCAUUUAAUUUGUCUUAGCUCAAUUUGGCUUUGAAACUGUAUAUUAGAGAUAAUGGAUAUUUCAUAUAAUUUAUGCUUGCCCUAACCAAUCUAGCAUUUUUCGAGGAAUCUUAUAAAAUAUACUUGCUAUCCAAGUACGUUCUCUAUCCUCUAAUUCCAAAAUUCUAUGAAAAUGCAUGCUAUCAUGAGCUAUAUCCAUGUUUUGAUUUAAUCCUUGGGUGCUUAGUUGUAUGUUUGACUUGCUUUGAUAAAAUGCAUGUUGCGUGCUAUAUCUCUAUACUAACUUUGAUGUCUUGUGAUAGCGCUUGAAAAGCCGUUCAGGUACGUACUUCGAUUCUCUCUCAUGGUUUGUUUUCUUGUUAGGCAUGUAAUAUUUGAAAUCACCUAACCUACUUAGGUAUCCAUAAUUAACUGAUUAAUGGCCACACUUCCCUUAACUUUGUCAGUAGAGACCUUUAUAGGGCUUAGAGGGGUGCUACUUUUCAAAGGUACCUUCCCAAUAGGUAACCUGAUCCCCGGACUUAGACUCGAAUUUUUCAAAGACACGCUUUUCCAAAAAUUAUGGAGUCAUUUUUUUAGGGUUUUAUUUCUUGUUUUAUUUUCCCUUCAAAAAUAAAAAUAAAAUAAGUGGCGACUCCAACUUUUUUUCAAAAAUCAAAUUUUCACAAAUAAAAAGCGAAUCUAGCCGAUCGAGUGGGGACGCACGUGAAAAAUGCGGGUCCACACACGAUAUUUUAUUUUGGUAUUAUAUGGUAAAGUGGCAGCAAAUUAUUCCCAUGCAUAACCAUAUAUAUGUUUGAGAGCUCAUAUCUAUUGAUGUCCAAACAGUAGUCCUGUUGAGAUUGCCUUUGAAAUGACAAUAUUUCGAGGUUUUUUUUAACUUGUAAGGCAACUUUAAAAAAUGGUAGUUGGAAAAAUAUUGAUGGAUUUGCGACACUUUUCGCCAUGUGGAAGGUGUAUUUUGAAGAGACACCUUCCAUAAUUUUUAAAUCUCAAUAUUCACUUAGAAGAAUUUAAUUUAAACUAAAGGUGUCUCUUAAAGAUAUACCUUCUAUAAUUCCAAAAAUUUUGAUUUAUACCUUGAAAAGAUAUUUUUCACAAUUCCAUAAAAUCCAAUAUAUAUCAAAGGUGUCAUUUCAAGAAACAUCUUUUACAAUUUCACAAAUUUUAAUUUAUACUACAAAUGUCUUUUGAAUUUGAUUUUAUAUUGAAUGUAUCUCUUUCUACAAUUUCAAAAAAAAAAAAAAAUAGAUUUAUACUAAACGUGUCUCUCUAAGAGACACUUUCCACAAUUCCACAAAAUUGAAUAUGUAUUAAAGUUGUCUCUUCAAGAAACAUUUUUCAUAAUUUCACAAAUUUUAAUUUAUACUACAAGUGUCUCUUGGAUUUGAUUUUAUAUUGAAAUAGUCAUAUUCUACAAUUUCAAAAAAAUUAAAUUUAUAUUAAAGGUGUCUCUUAAAUAAACAUUUUCCACAAUUCUACAAAUUUCAAUAUAUAAUAAAGGUGUCUUGAAUUUUAAUUUUCACAUUCAACAAUUUCACAAAUUUUAAUUUAUACUACAAGUGUUUUUUAAAAUUGAUUUUAUAUAAAAUGUGUUUUUUGAAUAGAUGUCUUUAGUAUAUAUUGGAUGUUUUGGAAUUGUAGAAGGUGUCUCUUUAAGAGACACUUUUAGUAUAAAUCCAAUUAUUAUUAUUAUUAUUAUUUUGAAUUGUAAAAAGUGUUUACCUUCAAUAUAAAAUCAAAGUCAAGAGAUACUUGUAAUAUAAAUUAAAAUUUGUGGAAUUGUAGAAGGUGUAGAGACACCUUUAGUAUAUAUUGGAUUUAUUUGGAAUUGAGGAAAUAGACACCUUCGAUCUAUAUAAAACAAAUUCAAGAGAUACUUGUAAUAUAAAUUAAAAUUUGUGAAACUGUGAAAUGUGUCUAUUGAAGAGACACCUUAAAUAUAUAUUAGAUUUUGUAGAAUUAUGAAAAUUAUCUUUUUAUACCUUUUACUAUAAAUCCAAUUUUUUGGAAAUGUAAAAAAUGCAUCUUGAAGAGACACUUUUAAUUUAAAUUAAAUUCUUUUAAGCAUAUAUCUUAAAUUUACAAAUUAUAGAAGAUGUCUUUUGAAAAGAGACCUUUAAUAUAAAAUCAAAUUCAAGAUAGAUGAAAAUAGGUCGUGUUAAAAGAGUUAAAAUAUAACAUUUUUUUCCACCUCUCUCCAACAUGUCCAAAAGUGCCAAAACGCCCUAAUGAACACUGUUGAACCAAAAACCCAAACUCCUCAAAACAAACAUGUCACCAUGUUCUAAGAGCUCAAGUAAGGACCAUUGGGACCCAUAGGAAAAUAUUGGCUCCUUUAAAAUCCAAUUUUGAAGUUGAUUCAACAUUCCACUAAAACGAAUCAAUUGUAUUCCAUUAUCAUUUGAAAUUACAAUGAGGCAAAGCUUGGUUUAUGCCCUACUAUCUACUGCAUACAAACUACCCAUGAACUUAAGUUUGUAAUAUAAUAAGGUAGUGCUAUUAACCUAUCAAGAUUACCUUUCUAAUCCUUGAGUUACGGAUCUACUUAUUAUAUGAUCAAUUGACAUACUCCAACUCUAAGGAUCAUAUGUCAACAUUUCAUUGAAAAAGUUGUUAUGGUCAUAGUCUUCUUAAUCACAUGUCCUUUGAAUCACUAAGGAGACAUACUAUCUUAUUCCCAUUAGAUAUCAUGGUACCUUUAUUAAAAAUUUAUGUUGCCACCAACCUCCAUCCAUAGUGACCCAAUCUAUAUGGAUAUAUGACCACAUUAAGAUCUCACUUGUAUGUCAAUGUCUCCUAUUGAUUUUAGCAUAGACUAAGUAUCCUAUCAAGGUUGAGAGUCUAUGUAAUAAAGUAGUUUGUUAAUCAUGACAACUAAUAGUCUUAGAUUAUGAUUUACCAUAAGUCUUGUCCAAUGUAUAACCAUACACACUAGUGUACUUACCAUGAGAAACUCAUCUUAAUGGCCAAAACAAAUCAUCCCUCCAAUUAAGAGGUGAUACACUACAAUUUUAUUAGAUCACCCAAAUUCAUGAAUUGAUUAUAAACAACUAAUCAUCUUAUAAAGAACUCAUGACUUUUAUCAUCUAUGCAACUCUUAAUGCACUUAAGUCAUAUACAUUGAAAGUGAUAUAAAAGGAAACUAAACAUAAAUAAAUAAAUUUACUAAUAAAUCAACUAUUUUGCAUCAUGUCAUGCUUUCUAGGGUUUUAUCUUAACAAUCCAAAGCAUGAAAAAGGUUUUCCCAAUUCAUGAUCAACAUUAAACAUGGAGAGUAGAGGCAGAAACAAGAAUAAAGGUAAUGGGCGCGACAUAUACAAAUUGAGGAAUGAUAGGUUAAAAUCUAAAAGUCCUAGGAAUUCUUAAAAUUAUAGGAGUAAGAAAGAUAUUGAAUGCUCAAAUUGUGGAAAGAUGAGACAUUAUUAAAAUGAGUACAAUGUUGCCAAGAAGGAUAAGGAUAUUGAUAAUAAGACUAAUGCAAAUGUUGUGUUAAAAGAAUCAGAUAAUGCUCUUAUUUUCUCUUUGGAGAACAAAACAUAAUCAUAGUUGUUGGAUUUGGAGGCAUCGUUCCAUGCUGUUGUACAUAGAGAAUUAUGUUUCAAGUCAUUUAGGGAAAGUGUAUCUAGGCGAUGACCAAACAUGUGAUGAUACUGAAAAAGGUGAAGUGCAUAUCAAACUAAAUGAGUUUGUAUGGAAUCUAGAUGAUGUAAGGCACAUUCCAAACUUGAGGAAGAAUCUUAUUUUUAUAGGGCAAUUGGCGAAAAAUGGCUAUGCAACAACUUUAAUAGGUGACACAUGGAAAAUCUCAAGGGGAACGAUGAUUGUUGCCCAUGGCAAGAGAAUGGUACUCUUUACAUGACAACAGAUAGUUGUGGGUUCCAAAAAUUUUAAGAGAAAAUGUGAGGGGGAAAAACGAAAUCAAAGAAUAAAUAAAUAAAUAAAUAAUUAAAAAAUUAAAUUUAAAGAUAAUAAAUUAUUUUUAAUAUUAAUUGAAACUCAUUUUACUUAUUUUAAUUAUAUUUGAUUUUUCUAAUUUUUUUUAUGGUAAACCCAAAAAUGAGUGUUAGGAUUUUUAGGCUAAUCCAACCUAUGGUAAUCACCCUAGAGGGGGGGUAAAUAGGGUGAUGGUCUCUUUUCGUAAAUUUAAACAAGUAAAUUUAAGAGACAAUUAUAUGCAAGUAUAUGAUAAGCAAUAUAAAGACAAUUGCAUAUAAAUUAAAGAGUAGGGAAGAGAGAAUGCAAACACAAGAGUUUAUAGUGGUUCGGCGCAACCCGGCCUACAUCCACUCUUCUCUAUCUUCAAUCCCAAGCUUGAGGUUGCACUAAUCCAAGGCUUCCAAACCAAGCCUUCAAGCAAUACAAUUGGAUUAUGGUUCCAAUUCACCCUCUUGGACUUUUGGCUCCAAGCACCCUUUACACUUCUCAAGAGAUAUCCCACUCUUGAACAACUUCUCAAGAGAUAUCUCACUCAACAACCUCUCAAGUGAUACCCACACUUGAUAAACUUCCUCUCAAAGAUUUACAAAUGAAUGAUCUCUCAAAAAUCCUAGCACAAGAACUUUAAGCUCAAAUGAUACAAGAAAAAUUAGGAUUGAAUGGUGCACUAAAGAUAUGCGAGUUUUGAAAUAAUGGUGCACUCUUAAAUACUCUUCCAAGGCUCAAUUAUAAUCAAGAAAGAUUUGGGAAGGUUAAGCUCUUUAAACAAUGAAGAUUGGAGCCUUUUUAUAGGAGAGAAAAACCAAACUAGCCGUUAGCAUUAAAUGCUUGGCAGGUGACCGUUAGCCUCAACCAGACCUCAACCGGACCUCGAUGGGGAAGAGAAUUACCUCGACCGGGAAGAGAAGGUCACUAGGAGAGAGAGAAACUUUUUGGCCUCCCUCAACCGGUACUCGACCGGACGAGCACAAUUGGUCGACCGGUUCUUCAACCGAUUGAACCGGCUGAGCCAUUUUUUGGCUCAACACCCAAUUUUUUUCAACUUAAAACCUUUUAAAACAAGUUUGAAAGAUAUUUAACACAAGAUUUUAGUUGAAAACAUGAAAUCAUCCAAUUCUUAAGAUAUUUAAAACAAUAUUACUCUUGGAUGAUUUUGGUGCAUAAAUGAAUAAUGAAAUGCAUGAAAGUCUUAGUGCACCAACAACCUUACAAAGAGAUCUUAUGAAACUUUGGUCUUGAAAAACACUUCUCUUUGAGGUGGUCUUCUUCUUCAUGAUUUCUCCUUGGCUUGAUUUGUCUUUGUGAUUGCCACUUUGGAAAUCGUCUUGCCUAAUCACACUUGAAAUAUAAUCAUAAGUUUUAAACUUUGUUUUGUUAUCAUCAAAAUCAAUAUUAACCAAGCCUUGGUUUCACAAUGAGAAAAUCAUUUUUGUUAUGUUAUUUUUCUUCCUGAAAUAUGGAAUAAAUAUAAAAAAAGUUUAAUUUAAAUUUAAAGAUUGUGUGUAGUUAUAUUAAACUUUUUUAUUUUAUUAAUAAUAGUUAUUGUGAGCAUUUAACUAGGUUGACAAUUGCAGAUAAAAAAUUCGUGUCUCUUAACUUGGUUUUCCAAAUCCUUCCUCAAACUACUUGCCUAAUGAAGAUCAAAAUAUAGAAAUUAAUUAGAGACCAAGGUAAAUGAUAUUGUAGAUGGAUAAAAUUGAAUCAACCAAGAGUUGAGAUGGCAAGAACAAUUUUUUUUUUUUUAACUAAGUCUUAAUGUGUCCUACUUCAAGAUUAAUCUAGAUUUAAGUAAGAUUGAUCCAUUUUUUGCUAAAUCUUUUCUUAACCAUUAGAUUAAAGUUUCUCUUUCUUUUUAAACCAAAAUGAUUCCAAUUUAGGUUAGAGGGACAUUAGUAGCACAUUUGUACUCCCCUUGAGCUCUCUCUCUUCAAUCAAAAUUGGAAGUGUUUGGUUCUUAAGAAAAUCCUCCUUUACAUUAAUUUCAAAAUCAUUUUUCAAUUGGAUUUACUUAAAAAUUGGAUGAUUCCUUAUCAUUCAUUCAUUUCAUUUGUUUUUUUCUUUUUUUCAUUUGUUUAGAUUAGGGUAAAAACUCAUUUUCUUCUUAAGUAGGUUCAAGAAGAAGUCGAGAUCAAACUUAAUGUGGACUUCAAAUGUACUCCAAAAAUAAAAGUGUGAAGCUAAAAGUGAAAAUGUGCUAAUCAAGUGGUUCAUAAAAUGAUUGAUAGACUUGAGUUAGGUAAAACCUUAUAUUAAUUUUUGUUUUCAUAGUAAAUGUUUUUUAUCACUUAUAGGCCUAUAAUUUUUUAUCUCUUUAACAAUUCUCCAUGUAAAAAUAUAAUAUUAUUGUCUCUAUCUCUCAUUCUACUCUUUUAUUUAUUUUUAAUUAUUGAUAUCAUUUACUACUUGAGAAUAUAUGUUGGAUAAAUGAAAAAUAAGUUGAAAUAUGUGUGAUUAUCUUUGAAAAAUCUUGAAUAAUUUUUUAUUCAAUUUAAUAGAUAUCAAGUAGUAAUUGAAAAUGUAUUAAAAAAAUAAUUCUUUUUAAGAAUUUAUGUUUGGGGGUGUUAAAAUAUUUACGUAUGACUUGUAUUUAUAAAUUAUUGAUAGAAUAUUAUUGUAUUCAUAUUUACAUGUGAUUUUUCUUCUCCAUUGAAAAGUUAUUAGAAGAAAAACACUACCCUAAACGCAGUUAUCAUUGAAAUUUACUCUCAAUUAUUUUUAUCAUCUUUCUUGCUAAUAUAUAUAUAUAUAUAUAUAUAUAUAUAUAUACAAAAGACACUUAGAUCUCUAGAGAUUUAUUAGUAAUAAAAAUACGAUCCCAUGAGAAUGUACAAGAGAUGAAGCAUAUGCCAACAAAUUGCAUUUAUUGCAAAGCACAACUUAAUUAAUAUAUCCGAUUUCUUCACAUGCAAUUUCUUUUCGGAACAAAAGGUUGCUUUGGAGAGCGAAAGGUUGAAGAGCCAGUGGACAAAACCAAAAAAGUUUUCAACCUUUUCAGGCGUGGGCCGGGGAUGGUAUCAGAGUAGCACAUGGAGAGAUUUACGUAACAAUCUUCUCUAAUUCUUUCUAGAUGACCCUUAUCACAGAUUUGAUGGUGGCGGCAUCGGCCAGCUGCAGCUCUUUUCACUAUUUACAUUGAGAAUAAUCGGAUUGGAUAUUUAAUCAUUGUAAUUAAAUAAUU
rnacentral:lncRNA from 1 species